UUCUCACCUGAAACCCAUUUCUUCUCCUCCCUUCGCACUCGUCGCACCGUGCCGAUUUUUCAUUUCUCUCUCGCGAUCUCAUCGCCGGUCACCGAGCAUCAACGCCGGCAACCCGGUCUUCGUUCUCCUCUGUCCACGCGAAUGUAAGGGGGUUGAUUCAUCACCACCGAAGCAAUUUGACCUUGGCGUUGCUUCUUCUUCCACUCCUCUCGAUUCCUUCGCCUCGUUGAUCGCCGACAAUCGCGGGUUGCUUGAUCACCGGCCAUCACCGUCCCUCCUCAGUUCCAAUCGUGCGAUGUCGUUUGACCCAUCGCCGAGGCUUCUUGCCUUUCUUCCCAGGUAGCUGGUCGCAUGAGGGGAAAUCGUCGGCUAAGAGAGGGUAAAGGCAAGCCCUAGCCGUCUCUCGUGGAUGUCCAGUGCCUUCUCGUUAUCGGAUCUUGGAUCAAGGAGGUCCACUUCACUGGAUUCCGGUUCCUCCUUCUCAUUGGUGUUGAUUGGCUGCUGAUCCUAGAGUGGAUGGACUGCUGAAGCAUAAUUUGGUGUAAGAUUGCUGGUGAUCCACGGUUCCGACGAUCCAGUUGCAAUAGUGAAUUCCUCCGGUCAUGUUCCACCAGUGGUCACGGUUAAUUUGGGUGUUUGUUGGAAUGCCUUAAGCUUCUUGUUUCCUCUGUUUAUGCCGGACCAUCUGCAAAUGGGUGGGGAAGCUCCAUUUUUGUCCACAGUAAACUUUGGAUUUCUUUAUCAAAAGGGUGUGAAUCUGUUUUGGAUCAAGGACUUUCGAGGCGAGCGUAUCGACGUGAGGUUGGUUUAUCUGACACGGUCGACAGAUAAAGGUAGAUGGUUGGAGUGUCGCUCGGAGUAUCCUGUCUGUCGGGUCCUACGUCACAUCCGAAGAGCGUUUCGGGUUUCCGCUUAUGUUUUACUUGUAUUCGUUAUUUGGUGCAUUUGGUGCAUUUGGUGUAUUUGGUGUAUUUGCUGUUGUUAUUGUAUUUGUGUUGUUGUAGUUGUUGUAUAAAGCCUAGCCGGCUAGCAAUGUCUUGAUGUGUUUUGUA